rnacentral:rRNA from 1 species
GGAUUAGAUACCCUGGUAGUCCACACCGUAAACGCUGUCUACUAGCUGUUUGUGUAUUUAAUACGUGAGUAGCGAAGCUAACGCGCUAAGUAGACCGCCUGGGGAGUACGGCCGCAAGGUUAAAACUCAAAUGAAUUGACGGGGGCCCGCACAAGCGGUGGAGCAUGUGGUUUAAUUCGAUGCAACGCGAAGAACCUUACCAGGACUUGACAUCCAGAGAAGUUACCAGAGAUGGUUUCGUGCCUUCGGGAACUCUGAGACAGGUGCUGCAUGGCUGUCGUCAGCUCGUGCCG